CCAAAGCAUAGAGUUCCUGGCUAAGAGCUCAGUCGCAUGUUCUUUAUGAGCUUGGGAAGUAAGAAUGAUGAGAGCAGUGUAGACGAUGGAGGACUGGCUGAUUUUGAAGUGGGACUAAUUCAUCCAUAAAGCUUAUUGCCAGCCAGCAGGCUGGGAGCGCAUGAGAGUCUACCAAUGGGGAUAAUGGGCAUACAGGCAAGGAUAGGUGACUCAAGGAAACUAAAACCAUAACAAUUAAGAUCACCAGAAAGUGAAGAAGAGUGGAGCAAGAAGCAAAAGAGAACUAUUGGAUGAGGAAAGAGUUGAUCUGCAGAUGAAUGCUACUGAGAACCCAGAAGGAACAGAGCUUGUGUAGCACUGCCCAGGAGGGGGGAGGACUGACAUCAUGAUACAAA